UCACAGCCUCGUGAAUGCAGUGUAUGUCUCCCGCAGACAUGAAACUACCGACUCGUGUUUGGCUUGGUCCGAACGAGUGACUCUGUUUUCGGUGUAAAUAACUUGCUGAAGUUGACACCACACUGUUUCCCUGGAGGAGAAGAUGAGUGCGUUGGAAAGUAAAACUGCUGGCCCAGUGUGGACGAGGCGAAGCGGAGAGGAUGGGCCAGCUAGAGAGAGAAGCCAUCGCUAACUGCUAAGCUAACUCUUAGAUCUGAAAAGCGUGUUAACAACUGUGGGAUUAGCGAGAAAGUUGCUAAAAGUAGAAUAAAGAAUCGAGUGCUUUAGCGGAAGUAGUGCAUGUUUAAAUAGGUAUUAACUGUUAAGUUUUUACAUAAACAUGACUUUCUCUACGGCUGUAUUUGGUAGGAAGCUCUCCGUCUCUUCACAGCUCUGAUGCAUAAAGCCGGCGCCACAAAGCAGAGCGAGGGAGGCCGUCACUGCCGAGACUCGCUGAAUGUCCGGAUUUGCAGUGCGGAAAACAACGGCAUUGUAUUUGUUUUCCAGCUGCCUGUACUAUGACGUACUAAGACCUACUAUGAGCCAGUAUGAAGGAGCUUCCAGUACAUUCAACUAGACCUUGCAUCAGCAUUGAGGAGUUCAGGAGUUGUCGGAGAAGAAAGAGGCUGAUUGAAGUGGGACAGAUGACAUGGAUCCAUCCUUCCACAGCCAGGAGCUCACCGACCUGUAUGCCACACUUCAAAUAAGACUAGAGGCUACACUGGAUCUCACAGCUACACACCACAGACGUCUACACACUGGGGCAGAUUCGGACAGAGUCCCACAAAGAACGUAUGACCCAGAGGCUGCAAAGAGACAUUUCAAGCUUCACCUGAUUAGUUUUUCACUGGCUAGGCCAGUUGUGUUUGUACAAUAUUUGUGCUGUAAGUAAAUAAAGCUUUGACUCAUCA